rnacentral:rRNA from 1 species
UACGUAGGGUGCGAGCGUUGUCCGGAAUUAUUGGGCGUAAAGAGCUUGUAGGCGGUUUGUCGCGUCUGCCGUGAAAUUUCGAGGCUCAAUCUCGAACUUGCGGUGGGUACGGGCAGACUAGAGUGUGGUAGGGGAGACUGGAAUUCCUGGUGUAGCGGUGAAAUGCGCAGAUAUCAGGAGGAACACCGAUGGCGAAGGCAGGUCUCUGGGCAUUAACUGACGCUGAGGAGCGAAAGCAUGGGGAGCGAACAGG